rnacentral:rRNA from 1 species
AGGGCUUGACAUAUAUAUGAGGGGACAUAGAGAUAUGAAACCAGUAAGAGCUUGCUCUUAACAUAUAUACAGGUGGUGCAUGGUU